rnacentral:RNase_P_RNA from 1 species
AAACCGCAAGUGUGCAGUCGCUGUGUGGAUUCGUCCAUGCAGAGGAAAGUCCGAACUUCACAGGGCAGGGUGCCGGUCGAGAACCUCUGGUUCAAGCCCGGGGGCAGCGGUGCAAGCCGUCUGUCACAGAGAGUGCAACAGAAAGCGAACCGCCGUGGGCAACCGCGGUAAGGGUGAAAAGGCGGUGUAAGAGACCACCAGGUGUUCCAGUGAUGGGAUACGCUAUGAAAACCUCCCCGAAGCAAGGCCAAAUAUGGAAACUUUUCCCCUCGGGGAAGAAGAGCUGCCCGCUCAAUCCAUCAGGGAUUCCCUGAUGGGAGUUUUCGGGUAGGCCGCAUCAGAUAAAUGGCUGCAGUUUCACCACAUGAUGGUGAUUCACAGAAUUCGGCUUACAACUUCGGUUUCGGC